rnacentral:lncRNA from 1 species
GUUUAAUAAUAAUAUAUAAUAUAAUAGUGUUCAGCAAAGUAAGAUGUAGAAAUAAGUCAACAUGACCAAUAGUCAGAUGACCCCUUAAGGAGUUAUUGCCCUUUAUAGUCAAUUUUCAACAAUUUUCAUUAAUUUUUACAAAAUAUUUUCCUCUGUUACUAAAGGGCCAAUUUUAUUAUAGAUAAAGAAAAUUGUAAGUGGCAAGAAUUUUCAGUAAAGUAAGAUCUACAAACACAUAACCAUCACCAAA